rnacentral:rRNA from 1 species
AUUGAACGCUGGCGGCAGGCUUAACACAUGCAAGUCGAGCGGGGUGAGGUGCUUCGGUACUGAUCCUAGCGGCGGACGGGUGAGUAAUGCUUAGGAAUCUGCCAUUUAGUGGGGGACAACAUUCCGAAAGGAAUGCUAAUACCGCAUACGUCCUACGGGAGAAAGCAGGGGAUCUUCGGACCUUGCGCUAAUAGAUGAGCCUAAGUCGGAUUAGCUAGUUGGUGGGGUAAAGGCCUACCAAGGCGACGAUCUGUAGCGGGUCUGAGAGGAUGAUCCGCCACACUGGGACGGAGACACGGCCCAGACGCCUACGGGAGGCAGCAGUGGAGAAUAUUGGACAAUGGGGGGAGCCCUGAUCCAGCCAUGCCGCGUGUGUGAAGAAGGCCUUAUGGUUGUAAGGCACUUUAAGCGAGGAGGAGGCUACUGAGACUAAUACUCUUGGAUAGUGGACGUUACUCGCAGAAUAAGCACCGGCUAACUCUGUGCCAGCCGCCGCAGUAACAC